rnacentral:lncRNA from 1 species
GAUAAGAACAUAGACUAAGUUCAAUGACAGAGAGUGAUUGAAUGGCUGAUUUCAGUUUGGUUUUUGACCAUCUUUUUUUUAGGACUUCAUAAAAAGCUAACUCUGAAACAAUGGCCUGAAAUUUUCAUUUAACAUAGGUAGCUGUAUAUGCUCAGAACAAAAGUUUUAUGGAGAGCAAAGACGCUCACUCAGAAAAGGUGUGGGGCCUAUAAGUGUGAGAAGCCUGAAAAAAUGCAGAGGUUGGUCUUAUCCAGGGUCAACUUAACCCAAGAAAGUUCCAGCAGCCCACAUCGCAAGCCAAUCACCAAGGACCAGGCAAUCGGAGCCCUCAUUGAACAGGUCUGAGUCAUGUUCCCACAGGCUCAGCCUCAUCCAACUUACACAGACACAAAGGAGAUGCUUGCCAGGGAGAAAGUGGAAUCUCUGCAUUCAGAAGAAAAAAGUAUGUAUGCCAGGAAUCCCAGAAGAGCAGGAAGCCUCACGACUCAGCUCCACACGCUGUAGUGGUUCCACCUUUGGGAAGUUACGUUACACCUUCUCUGCUUCUGCUCCUUCCCCUCGUUAAAAAAACCCAAAAGAAAGGCCAGUGAGCACGUGGGAGCCCGUAAGUCGGUAUCUGAGAGAGACGGAAACACUGGACAGUACUACCUUCGAGGGGUGCUGAGGUGUGCUAACUGCUCUGAAGGAGCCCUCUGUUUAUAGGGAAGUAGAAAAUAGAGACCCACAACCAAGACACAACAGCUGUAAGGGUGACUUCUCAAGGUCUUCCCUCAGUGCAGGAGUGGUAAACUCCCAUGCCUGACUCGCUGAGGAGGCUCACGAAGGUAAGGAAGCAGAAUCACUUCUAGCCAAGGACUGGAGCUCACAGUCUCACUCAGCAUGGCAGCCACACACUCUGCAGCAAAUUGUUGGCCUCCAGGAAAGAUGGUCCAGACAUUUCCAACAGAAACUGAAUCGCGAUGCCAACCUAGACAUCCCACUUCCAAAGCCCAGACUCUCACCGUGCUGUGGAGGAAACAGUCUGAGGAAGAGAGCGAGCGGGGGCAGCAGCCAACUCCUUUGGGCUCAUGUAGCCAGGCUGCUCCUGUACUCCCUGUGAAUUAAAGCUGAGAAUUGCCUUGAGAUCCAUGUAUUUUCUGCCUCCAUCUUCCAAGUAAGUUUCCCGAGUGCAGAAGAAAGAUGAUUACAAUGGUAACUGGUUCUGCAGAAUGUCCCCCCACAGGAUCUGAAUCCAGAGAAACCACAGCAUUGAGGGUGUUGAACAGUCACUGCAAAACGAGCUCCCUCUCCUCAAAGCAUCAGGAGAAGAGAGAACCCAAAAACGGCCUCCAAGCUUAAUUGGGGGCGGCUGCUUUCAGGGGGUGAUGAGGGAUUGCUGUGCUGCUGACUUCCCAAAGUGACUCAGAGCUCUCUGCAUAAUCAAAUUCCCCUGAGGACUUGGACACGUUCUUCGCUGACAACCCACUUCUUCCUCCACCUCCUCUCUCUCCUUCCACAAAUCUAGAUCAGGCCCAGGGAUCUAGGGCACUCUUUGAUUUUUAAGAAUGACAUCUUCACUUCUUUCUUUACAUUUCUGUUCUGCUUCCAUCACCUGUCUAAUCCCACCCUAGGCCACUCGAUCAACCAACCAACUUCUCAUAAGCAUUUCCAUUAUUCAUCCAACAACUAUUUUUAAAGUGUCUUCUAUGUGCCAGAUACACUGGCGGUGUGCAAGUAAAUAAAGUGAUUUUUCAAUGAUGACA